rnacentral:lncRNA from 1 species
AAGGUACAGGACAUCCUGGAAGCUGAGCAGAGGGGCAUGGAGCCGUUCCAUCCCAGAGGAAGUGGCACCCCAUGCCUAUGGGCUGAGAAGCAAAUGCUCCCAGCCAAAUGUUCCAUCACAAUCAACAAAUACAAGAGGAUCCACUGCCAGAAGCUGGAGUUGAAUUUAUCUUUCCCUUAUUCUUUACCUCAGAUCUGCAACCUCCUGUCUGGCCCCACAGGGUCCAGCCCUUCUUCUGUGAUUUCUUCAAACUGACACCCUGGAGGCUGUUGAUGAGAGGACACCCUCUGGUGAGGAGACACUGGGUUCACAGUCCAAAGGCUGAGUACCAGUCAUACUCAACUGAUCUCUCAGGGUAUCCCUUGGCCCCCUGCAGUCCUAAGCAUGGCCACAAGAUGGCAGGGCUGACCCAUACUUUCCCUGUGGGACACAGCAAAGUUUGUUCUUCCCUCAAGUGCCCUGGGCCUUCAGGGCCAGGAUACCCCCAUUCCUCACCAUGGCCCCUGGAGGCCAUACAGAGCCGCCUGAGAAGACAAUCCUCCCUCUCCACCAUUCUAUCGCUCUUUAAACACGGGAGUCAACUUGGGGCCAAGUAUCAGGGUCUCUGCUUUUCUGUCCAGGACAGACUCACCUGUAUCUCCAUCUUCCUAUUCUAGAGAGGUGUUUGUGGGGAUUGAUUGGGUUCCUCUGACUUGCAGUUGCGCCCUGGCCUCGCCACCAACCCCCUGCAGCCCUCGCGACAGGGACACCGAGGCACGAAGCUUCCUGCCUGCACCUCUGUUGUGCUGCCUCUGCUGGUCCCUCCCUCUUCCCCCAGGUGUGUCUCCCGCAAUCUUAGGGAAG